CAGCAGCCGCCGCGGGAAUACGAAGGGUGCAAGCGUUAAUCGGAAUUACUGGGCGUAAAGCGUGCGUAGGCGGUUUGUUAAGUCUGUUGUGAAAUCCCCGGGCUCAACCUGGGAAUGGCAAUGGAUACUGGCAAGCUAGAGUGUGUCAGAGGAUGGUGGAAUUCCCGGUGUAGCGGUGAAAUGCGUAGAGAUCGGGAGGAACAUCAGUGGCGAAGGCGGCCAUCUGGGACAACACUGACGCUGGGGCACGAAAGCGUGGGGAGCAAACAGGAUUAGAUACCCCCGUAGUCCCUGUCUCUUAUAC
rnacentral:rRNA from 1 species